rnacentral:tRNA from 1 species
GGGAAUAUAGCUUAGCAGUAGAGUGCUUGCUUAGCAUGUAUGAAGCCCUGGGUUCGAUUCCCCAGUACCA